GACGAACGCUGGCGGCGUGCUUAACACAUGCAAGUCGAACGGAAAGGCCCUGCUUUUGUGGCGUUCUCGAGUGGCGAACGGGUGAGUAACACGUGAGUAUCCUGCCCUUGACUUUGGGAUAACUUCAGGAAACUGGGGCUAAUACCGGAUAGGAGCUCCUGCUGCAUGGGGUGGGUUGGAAAGUUGCGGCUGUUGGGGCUGGACUCGCGGGUUAUCAGCUUGUUGGUGUGGUAGUGGCUUACCAAGGCUUUGACGGGUAGCCGGCCUGAGAGGGUUACCAGCCACCUUGGGCCUAAGAUACGGACCAGAAUCCAACGGGAGGCAGUAGUGGGAAAUAUUGCACAAUGGGCGGAAGCCUGAUGCAGCAACGCUGCGUGCGGGAUGACCGCCUUCGGGGUGUAAACCGCUUUCGCAUGUGACGAAGCGUGAGUGACGGUAAUGGGUAAAGAAGCACCGGCUAACUACGUG
rnacentral:rRNA from 1 species